UUGACCUCAAAUCAGGUAGGACUACCCGCUGAACUUAAGCAUAUCAAUAAGCGGAGGAAAAGAAACUAACAAGGAUUCCCCUAGUAACUGCGAGUGAAGCGGGAAAAGCUCAAAUUUAAAAGCUGGCGGUCUUUGGCCGUCCGCAUUGUAAUCUAGAGAAGUGUUACCCGCGUUGGACCGUGUACAAGUCUCCUGGAAUGGAGCAUCAUAGAGGGUGACAAUCCCGUCUUUGACACGGACUCCCAAGGCUUUGUGGUGCGCUCUCAAAGAGUCGAGUUGUUUGGGAAUGCAGCUCAAAAUGGGUGGUAAAUUCCAUCUAAAGCUAAAUAUUGGCGAGAGACCGAUAGCGAACAAGUACCGUGAGGGAAAGAUGAAAAGAACUUUGGAAAGAGAGUUAAACAGUACGUGAAAUUGCUGAAAGGGAAACGCUUGAAGUCAGUCGCGUCGUCCGGAGAUCAACCUUGCUUUUGCUGGGCGUACUCUCUGGUUGACGGGCCAGCAUCAGUUUUGGCCACUGGAAAAGGGCGGAGGGAAUGUGGCAUCUUCGGAUGUGUUAUAGCCUUCCGUCGUAUACAGUGGCUGGGACUGAGG
rnacentral:rRNA from 1 species